rnacentral:lncRNA from 1 species
UAGGGUUUUUGAAGUGGCAUCCUCUUUAGGGUUUGUUUGGAUAUGGCACCAUGAAUCUUAGCCAUUGCUUGGAGCAUUACUUCUAAGCCCUUGGAUCUAUUCCCUUAUUUGCUAGCCCUUCAAGUGGUUGCCCUUAGGCCCCUUGGUGCUUGAGUUUUACUUUGGAUCUGAAAGAAUUUAGAUCUUGAUUAGUACAAACUUUCAAUUUUCUAUA